CUGUCGUACAGUAAUUUUGUUGGGAGCUUUGCACGUCUGCACGCGCAUGUCAAACUUUUUUUUCAGCCAACCCAUCUCGUACUUACAAGUCUGCAGAUUAUUAAUUUUCUAAAUUGAAAUUUGUGGACGAACAAAGGUCACGUCUGAAAAAAAUUUUUGUCCGAGGAAUCUGUUAAACUUUGAUUUGUGUUGAUUUAUUUAAGUAAUGUUUUGCCUUACCGCUAACUCGUUAAUUUUGAAUUUUUUAUUUGGAACUGGAAUUUUGGCACUCUAAAAUCUUAAACAUCUCCAGUUUCCUAUGCUGUGGGCUCGCCGAAAAUUUUAUGGAGUUGGAAAACUAAGUGGAAGUGCGCAAGGUUCCGGAAAAGUUGUGAAUGGUUUAUCCAAUAGCUGGCCGAAAAAGAGCGGACGCCGGUCGGACGUUCUCCAGCAUCAAAUAUUGCCGCAACAACGUAUCACUGGCUUGCCAAUUCCACACUGCCUCGAAAUCCUUCACAUCCAUCUCCAUGUUCAUACCCGGGGUCACUUAAGUUGCGCGAGUGGACUGCAAAGAUUGGGAAGAAUUAUGAAUCGAAAUAAAGAGUGGGAAGUGAAGAGAGCGUUAGGGCUGCUAAGCUACUUGAUAGGGAUAGGAGAGGCCGCAGAU